ACUCUCAUGUCCAGCCACCCCAGGUCUUUAUCUCUGGAGUUGCUUACUCCUGCCCAGUUUUCUGUGUUUGAUGGACUGAUUGAUGAUGUUGUCUCAGUAGGAACAGUAACAUUAAUUCCCCAGGUCUUAAAGGAUUCUUCUCUCGUCCCUACCCCUCCCUGUUCACUGACAACCAGAAAGCCGGUGGAGUAAGUCUGACUAGCAUUAGGGCAUGGGGGGCAGCAGCUUUUCUGUUCAGGGACUGCAGUGGCUAUACAUGAGAUGUGUAGGGCCCGGUGGGUACACAGGCAGUUCCCAGGGAAGGGCAGUGGGUGGGUCUGGUAAAGACUAGGCAGUCAGACUGGGGGACUGGCUUCCAGGGGGUUUAUUGUGGCAGCUGGAGGCCCCAAGGAGCCUGAUAGGCUGUGAACAGAAAAGGUUCUUUUUUUAAACUUUUGUUUUUAAAUACUUUUUUACACUGUUGUUGGUACUUUUUUUUAUGCUUAAGUCAGCAUUGUCUUCCAAUGUUAAAGGCAUCCCUUGCCUCUUCAUGGACCUUACGUGUCAAUUCAAAGGAACGGGCAGACUGUCCAUCCCGAGCCAGUUCAAUUAGAUGUAAAUUCAUACUGUUUUAAUUUUUUAUGCAAUCUGAUGAGUAGAUGAGCUCAGAUUUAAAAUCCUUAAAAGCACGUUUAUUGUAACCAGAAUUGUUAUGUAAUUAAUACUGCAGUUUUCAAUAAAGAUUGACUUGUGUUGCAAAAAAAAAAAAAAAAAAAGACUGC
rnacentral:lncRNA from 1 species